GGUAGUCCACGCCGUAAACGAUGUCGACUUGGAGGUUGUGCCCUUGAGGCGUGGCUUCCGAAGCUAACGCGUUAAGUCGACCGCCUGGGGAGUACGGCCGCAAGGUUAAAACUCAAAUGAAUUGACGGGGGCCCGCACAAGCGGUGGAGCAUGUGGUUUAAUUCGAUGCAACGCGAAGAACCUUACCUACUCUUGACAUCCAGAGAACUUAGCAGAGAUGCUUUGGUGCCUUCGGGAACUCUGAGACAGGUGCUGCAUGGCGGUCGUCAGCUCGUGUUGUGAAAUGUUGGGUUAAGUCCCGCAACGAGCGCAACCCUUAUCCUUUGUUGCCAGCGGUUAGGCCGGGAACUCAAAGGAGACUGCUAGUGAUAAACUGGAGGAAGGUGGGGAUGACGUCAAGUCAUCAUGGCCCUUACGAGUAGGGCUACACACGUGCUACAAUGGCGCAUACAAAGAGAAGCGACCUCGCGAGAGCAAGCGGACCUCAUAAAGUGCGUCGUAGUCCGGAUUGGAGUCUGCAACUCGACUCCAUGAAGUCGGAAUCGCUAGUAAUCGUAGAUCAGAAUGCUACGGUGAAUACGUUCCCGGGCCUUGUACACACCGCCCGUCACACCAUGGGAGUGGGUUGCAAAAGAAGUAGGUAGCUUAACCUUCGGGAGGGCGCUUACCACUUUGUGAUUCAUGACUGGGGUGAAGUCGUAACAAGGUAACCGUAGGGGAACCUGC
rnacentral:rRNA from 1 species